rnacentral:sRNA from 1 species
UUGACAACCCUGGAGACUGAAAUCCUUUAUUCACAAAACAGGUAGCAGCAUUGACAGCUUCCUCACACUGCUGCACUCAGAUUUCUCAAGGUCGACUCUGUCCUGAAGGAACUGCCUGCAGAUAUGAGAAGGGAGUGAAUGUCCAUGCCCUUCCUCUCAGUUCUUGACCAAG